GAGUUUGAUCCUGGCUCAGGACGAACGCUGGCGGCGUGCCUAAUACAUGCAAGUCGAGCGGACCGACGGGAGCUUGCUCCCUUGGGUCAGCGGCGGACGGGUGAGUAACACGUGGGUAACCUGCCUGUAAGACUGGGAUAACUCCGGGAAACCGGGGCUAAUACCGGAUGCUUGAUUGAACCGCAUGGUUCAAUCAUAAAAGGUGGCUUUUAGCUACCACUUGCAGAUGGACCCGCGGCGCAUUAGCUAGUUGGUGAGGUAACGGCUCACCAAGGCGACGAUGCGUAGCCGACCUGAGAGGGUGAUCGGCCACACUGGGACUGAGACACGGCCCAGACUCCUACGGGAGGCAGCAGUAGGGAAUCUUCCGCAAUGGACGAAAGUCU
rnacentral:rRNA from 1 species